UACGGGGGGGGCAAGCGUUGUCCGGAAUUAUUGGGCGUAAAGCGCGCGCAGGUGGUUUCUUAAGUCUGAUGUGAAAGCCCACGGCUCAACCGUGGAGGGUCAUUGGAAACUGGGGAACUUGAGUGCAGAAGAGGAAAGUGGAAUUCCAAGUGUAGCGGUGAAAUGCGUAGAGAUUUGGAGGAACACCAGUGGCGAAGGCGACUUUCUGGUCUGUAACUGACACUGAGGCGCGAAAGCGUGGGGAGCGAACAGG
rnacentral:rRNA from 1 species